rnacentral:rRNA from 1 species
UGGGGAAUCUUGGACAAUGGGCGCAAGCCUGAUCCAGCCAUGCCGCGUGAGUGAUGAAGGCCUUAGGGUCGUAAAGCUCUUUCGCCAGGGAUGAUAAUGACAGUACCUGGUAAAGAAACCCCGGCUAACUCCGUGCCAGCAGCCGCGGUAAUACGGAGGGGGUUAGCGUUGUUCGGAAUUACUGGGCGUAAAGCGUACGUAGGCGGGUUGUUAAGUUAGAGGUGAAAUCCCAGGGCUCAACCCUGGAACUGCCUUUAAUACUGGCAACCUAGAGUUCGAGAGAGGUGAGUGGAAUUCCGAGUGUAGAGGUGAAAUUCGUAGAUAUUCGGAGGAACACCAGUGGCGAAGGCGGCUCACUGGCUCGAUACUGACGCUGAGGUACGAAAGUGUGGGGAGCAAACAGGAUUAGAUACCCUGGUAGUCCACACCGUAAACGAUGAAUGCCAGUCGUCGGGUAGCAUGCUAUUCGGUGACACACCUAACGGAUUAAGCAUUCCGCCUGGGGAGUACGGUCGCAAGAUUA